CCCGUGAUGCCGCCCCGGGCAACCGCCCGUGUCGCCCGUAUCUAAAACCGCUACUGAUGAGAUCCAAAUAUAUGCCAAUGUCAACACAUGUUCAUGUUGAUGAGGUUUACUGAACAAAUUUGAAUCAUCACAACAACCAAAAUGUUAGCAACACAUUAUAAAGUUUAUUAUUAUCACUAUGGUAACCAUGUUUAUGUUUGUUACCUGCUAACUCAAACACAUUCUGUAGGUGUCACAUUUUGAGGACUAUAAUAAAGGAGGAUACUGUGGGUGUUGGAGAGGACCCACUGAAAAAUGUGAGUGCACGAAAGGAUCUCACAGAUGAACAUGUGGCCCCUGACACUCCAGCCACCUCUUCUGCACCAGUCUCACCUCCAGCUGAGGCUCAGACGAACAAAUCAAAGAAGGCUUCCUGGUGGCGCAGAUGGCUUUUUUGUGAGAAAAAGUCAAAGGUUUUUCCCAAAAAUGAAGACAAGGCAGAAGACACGGUCGUGCCACCUUCUGAACCCCAACAGAGUACCAUCAGCACUGAAAAAUGUGAAGUCAAGGACGUUGGUGUCCAGACAGAGGUUUCCUGCCCUCCCAACUCGCUGCUGUUUUUCUGCACGAAAAAGGUGACCUUAGAUGAUGAGCCGCGUUGUCCUGAAGUCAAUGAGAGAGAUGAGCCAGUUUCCAGGCCGUGUACCCCAGCAGGUCACGGUGGUAGCCAGGGGCC